UGCCAGCAGCCGCGGUAAUACGGAGGGUGCAAGCGUUGUUCGGAAUUAUUGGGCGUAAAGCGCGUGUAGGCGGUUCGUUAAGUCUGAUGUGAAAGCCCGGGGCUCAACCCCGGAUGGUCACUUGAAACAGCAAGACUUGAGUACGGGAGAGGAGAGAGGAAUUCCUGGUGUAGAGGUGAAAUUCGUAGAUAUCAGGAGGAACACCGAUGGCGAAGGCAUCUCUCUGGACGAUUACUGACGCUGAGACGCGAAAGCGUGGGUAGCAAACAGGAUUAGAUA
rnacentral:rRNA from 1 species